rnacentral:rRNA from 1 species
UACGAAGGGGGCUAGCGUUGCUCGGAUUGACUGGGCGUAAAGGGCGCGUAGGCGGUUUGUACAGUCAGACGUGAAAUUCCCGGGCUCAACCUGGGGGCUGCGUUUGAUACGUGCAGACUUGAGUUCGGAAGAGGGUCGUGGAAUUCCCAGUGUAGAGGUGAAAUUCGUAGAUAUUGGGAAGAACACCGGUGGCGAAGGCGGCGACCUGGUCCGAUACUGACGCUGAGACGCGAAAGCGUGGGGAGCGAACAGG